AGAUAGGUGAACACCGUUCUGAAGCGAGGUUUGUUGCGCGGCGUCSSUCAUCAUACUUCGCCCUAUCGAAAGUGGAUCGGGUUAAUAUUCCCGAACUCGAGCACGGAGAUUGGCUUGCUCUCGGGCAUGUCAAGCGCGGUAACGAAACGAACCAGGAGACGUCGGCGCGGGUCCCGGGAAGAGUUCUCUUUUCUUCGUAAGGAGCCCAAACCCUGGAAUCGGCUUGUUCGGCGAUAGGGUCUUCAGCUACCGUAAAGCACCGCGCUUCCCGCGGUUCCGGUGCACUCGCGUCGGCCCUUGAAAAUCCUGGCUAGGCGAUGUUAAUUUCGUGCCGAGCCGU
rnacentral:rRNA from 1 species